GACGAACGCUGGCGGCGUGCUUAACACAUGCAAGUCGAACGGUGAAGCGCCUUCCUUUUUGGUGGGUGUGGAUUAGCGGCGAACGGGUGAGUAACACGUGAGUAACCUGCCCCCUUCUUCUGGAUAACCGCAUGAAAGUGUGGCUAAUACGGGAUAUUCUGGGUCUGUUGCAUGAUGGGUCUGGGAAAGAUAUUGUUUCGGUGGGGGAUGGGCUCGCGGCCUUUCAGCUUGUGGGUGGGGAGAUGGCCUACCAGGGCGGUGACGGGUCGCCGGCGUGGGAGGGUGGACGGUCACAGAGGGAGUGAGACACGAGCCAGACUCCGACGGGAGGCAGCAGGGGGGAAUAGUGCACAGUGGGCGCAAGCCUGAUGCAGCGACGCCGCGUGAGGGAUGGAUGCGUUCGGGUUGGGAACCUCUUUCGCCAGUGAAGCGGGCCUGCCUCGUUUGUGGGUGGGUUGACGGUAGCUGGAUAAGAAGCGCCGGCUAACUACGUG
rnacentral:rRNA from 1 species